rnacentral:rRNA from 1 species
UACGUAGGGGGCAAGCGUUGUCCGGAAUCAUUGGGCGUAAAGCGCGUGUAGGCGGCCCGAUAAGUCCGCUGUGAAAGUCCAGGGCUCAACCCUGGGAUGCCGGUGGAUACUGUCGGGCUCGAGUCCGGAAGAGGAGUGUGGAAUUCCUGGUGUAGCGGUGAAAUGCGCAGAUAGUCAGGAGGAACACCAAUGGCGAAGGCAGCACUCUGGGACGUGACUGACGCUGAGACGCGAAAGCGUGGGAGC